GUGCUCAUCUUAGUGCACAUACAUUAAAAUUGGAAUGAUACAGAGAUCAGCAUGCCCCUGCUCAAGGAGGACACACAAAUUUGUGGAAUGUCCCAUAUUUAG
ensembl:snRNA U6 U6 spliceosomal RNA